AAAAGUAUGAGUUUGAUCCUGGCUCAGAAUGAACGCUAGCGAUAAGCUUAACACAUGCAAGUCAAACGUUUCUUAAAUUGUUUAAGAAAAGUGGCGAACGGGUGAGUAACGCGUAAGAAUCUGCCUCGCAAACCAAGGAAAGACCUGUCUGAAUCUUGGAUAUCAAGUAAAGUCAAAAGACGUUGUGAGAUGAGCUUGCGUAGGAUUAGGUAGUUGGUAGGGUAAAAGCCUACCAAGCCAAAGAUCCUUAGCUGGUCUGAGAGGAUGAUCAGCCACACUGGGACUGAGACACGGCCCAGACGCUUUCGAGCGGCAGCAGUGAGGAAUAUUGGACAAUGGGCGAAAGCUUGAUCCAGCUAUAUCGCGUGGGUGAUGAAGACUGUAUUGGUUGUAAAACCCUUUAUUUAAACGGAGAUUAUGACAAAGUUUAAGGAAAAAGUCCCGGCCAAUCUCGUGCCAGCAGCCGCGGUAAUACGAGAGGGGCAAGCGUUAUUCGGAAUGAUUGGGCGUAAAGCGCACGUAGACUGUUUAGAUAAUUAGAUUUAAAAAACUCAAAGCUUAACUUUGACAGUUAUUUUUGAAUUCCUAAACUGGAGUGAGUAAGAGGAGAAUGGAAUUCCUGGCGUAGAGGUAAAAUUUGUUGAUAUCAGGAGGAACACCAAAAGCGAAGGCAAUUCUCUAGUACUCUACUGACGUUGAGGUGCGACAGCGUGGGGAUCAAAAGGGAUUAGAUACCCCUGUAGUCCACGCCGUCAACGAUGACCUUUCUGUGAAUAUGAAAAUUCUUUGCUACUAUCAAAUGAGUGUUUCCUCAACCAUAAUUCUAUGGUUGAGUGGGCACUUUUUUGUAUAAAAGAGUUUUUACGUUUGCAUUAGCUAACGCGUUAAAUGGUCCGCCUGAGGAGUACGGUCGCAAGACUAAAACUCAAAGGAAUAGACGGGGGCUCACACAAGUGGUGGAACAUGUGGUUUAAUUCGAAACAACGCGCAAAACCUUACCAGUCCUUGACAUAAUCUUUUCACAAUCUCUUUUUAGUGGAGAUAAUUUUUUUUUCAAUUUGAAAAAAAAGUGAAGAUUACAGGUGUUGCAUGGCUGUCGUCAGUUCGUGUUGUGAAAUGUUGGAUUAAUUUCCUUAACGAACGAAACCCCUCUUUUCAUUCAAAAAAUCACGAAUUUGGAAACGAAUACGGUGGUUUUUAAAAUGGAAUUACAGCUGGUAAUAAACUAGAGGAAGGGAGGGAUCACGUCAAGUCUUCAUGACCCUUAUGGGCUGGGCUACACACGUGUUACAAUGGUAAGCACAAAGAGGAGCAAUGAUGAAAAUCGGAGCAAAUCUCAAAAAACUUACCCCAGUUCAGAUUGUUCUCUGCAACUCGAGAACAUGAAGCCGGAAUCACUAGUAAUCGUGGAUCAGCACGCCACGGUGAAUAUGUACCUGAGCCUUGUACUCCCCGCCCGUCACAUACCGAAAAUAGCUAGGAAUGGAAAACGAGGAAAUCCUGCUUUUUUUUCAGAGUCAUGAGUGAUUCACCACAAAGAAAGCCAGAAAUCACGGUGAAGUUCAGAGCUGUAAUUGGUAUGAAGUCGUAACAAGGUAGCCGUAGGGGAACCUGCGGCUGGAUUAAUAAAAAU
rnacentral:ncRNA from 1 species